rnacentral:rRNA from 1 species
CACGUAGGGGGCAAGCGUUGCUCGGAAUCACUGGGCGUAAAGCGCACGUAGGCGGACUCUUAAGUCGGUGGUGAAAUCCUGGAGCUCAACUCCAGAACUGCCUUCGAUACUGGGAGUCUUCGAGUCCGGGAGAGGUGAGUGGAACUGCGAGUGUAGAGGUGAAAUUCGUAGAUAUUCGCAAGAACACCAGUGGCGAAGGCGGCUCACUGGUCCGAUACUGACGCUGAGGUGCGAAAGCGUGGGGAGCAAACAGG